AACAAUGCCUGAAGAUGCUCACUGAAGAGUCUCCCUGUGCCCAGGAGCAAGUUGCGUCUGAUGAAGAUUUUGUUCCUUCAUCAAGCCAUUCUCACUCAGAACCAAAAUAUCCCACAUUCUGCCACGAUGAGCAACAAGCAAAGCCAAGCACUGCAGCUCCUGAGCCCUGGGUCCCACAUUACCCACAGCCAAGAGGGAAGCCUGGAGAAAAGAGGUCACACAGUAAUUUGCACUGGACUGCUCUGUUAAAGGGACAACUUGUGUUCAUCUGACACCA